GAUGAACGCUGACGGCGUGCUUAACACAUGCAAGUCGAACGAUGAAGCCCAGCUUGCUGGGUGGAUUAGUGGCGAACGGGUGAGUAACACGUGAGUAACCUGCCCUUAACUCUGGGAUAAGCCUGGGAAACUGGGUCUAAUACCGGAUAGGAGCGUCCACCGCAUGGUGGGUGUUGGAAAGAUUUAUCGGUUUUGGAUGGACUCGCGGCCUAUCAGCUUGUUGGUGAGGUAAUGGCUCACCAAGGCGACGACGGGUAGCCGGCCUGAGAGGGUGACCGGCCACACUGGGACUGAGACACGGCCCAGACUCCUACGGGAGGCAGCAGUGGGGAAUAUUGCACAAUGGGCGCAAGCCUGAUGCAGCGACGCCGCGUGAGGGAUGACGGCCUUCGGGUUGUAAACCUCUUUCAGUAGGGAAGAAGCGAAAGUGACGGUACCUGCAGAAGAAGCACCGGCUAACUACGUG
rnacentral:rRNA from 1 species